rnacentral:rRNA from 1 species
AUUGAACGCUGGCGGCAGGCCUAACACAUGCAAGUCGAACGAGUGGCGGACGGGUGAGUAAUGUCUGGGAAACUGCCUGAUGGAGGGGGAUAACUUCUGGAAACGGUAGCUAAUACCGCAUACCAUCAGAUGUGCCCAGAUGGGAUUAUCUAGUUGGUGGGGUAACGGCUCACCAAGGCGGCUAUCCCUAGCUGGUCUGAGAGGAUGACCAGCCACACGGGAAAUGGGACACGGUCCAGACUCCUACGGGAGGCAGAAGUGGGGAAUGUGGGACAAUGGGCGCAGGCCGGAUGCAGGCAAGACGCGUGUAUGAAGAAGGCUUUCGGGUUGUAAAGUACUUACAGCGGGGAGGCGUUACCGGCAGAAGAAGCACCGGCUAACUCCGUGCCAGCAGCCGCGGUAAUAC